GAUGAACGCUAGCUACAGGCUUAACACAUGCAAGUCGAGGGGCAGCACGGUGUAGCAAUACAUGGGUGGCGACCGGCGCAUGGGUGCGUAACGCGUAUCCAACCUUCCCGUUACUCAGGGAUAGCCUUCCGAAAGGGAGAUUAAUACCUGAUGGUGUUCAAAUUCCGCAUGUUAUUUGAACUAAAGAUUUAUCGGUAACGGAUGGGGAUGCGUGACAUUAGGUAGAUGGCGGGGUAACGGCCCACCAUGCCUACGAUGUCUAGGGGUUCUGGGAGGAAGGUCCACCACACUGGAACUGAGUCACGGUCCAGCCUACUACGGGAGGCAGCAGUGAGGAAUAUUGGUCAAUGGUCGGAAGACUGAACCAGCCAAGUAGCGUGAAGGAUGAAGGUUCUAUGGAUUGUAAACUUCUUUUAUACGGGAAUAAAGCCUCCCACGUGUGGGAGCUUGUAUGUACCGUAUGAAUAAGCAUCGGCUAACUCCGUGCCAGCCGCCGCGGUAAAAC
rnacentral:rRNA from 1 species